rnacentral:rRNA from 1 species
GACGAACGCUGGCGGCGUGCCUAAUACAUGCAAGUUGAGCGCUGAAGGUUGGUACUUGUACCAACUGGAUGAGCAGCGAACGGGUGAGUAACGCGUGGGGAAUCUGCCUUUGAGCGGGGGACAACAUUUGGAAACGAAUGCUAAUACCGCAUAAAAACUUUAAACACAAGUUUUAAGUUUGAAAGAUGCAAUUGCAUCACUCAAAGAUGAUCCCGCGUUGUAUUAGCUAGUUGGUGAGGUAAGGGCUCACCAAGGCGAUGAUACAUAGCCGACCUGAGAGGGUGAUCGGCCACAUUGGGACUGAGACACGGCCCAAACUCCUACGGGAGGCAGCAGGAGGGAAUCGUCGGCAAUGGACGAAAGUCUGACCGAGCAACGCCGCGUGAGUGAAGAAGGUUUUCGGAUCGUAAAACUCUGUUGGUAGAGAAGAACGUUGGUGAGAGUGGAAAGCUCAUCAAGUGACGGUAACUACUCAGAAAGGGACGGCUAACUACGUG